UGAAGAAGAGAAACUGUGGUGGUUUCUCUCUUUGUUGAAGGAGAAAGAAGGAUAAGAGUGGAAGAGAGAAGAAAGGAGAUUGGGGUUCCCCUUUCGAUUUCUGGGAUGGAGGGUAUUUUGUAUGACUAGGUAUUGGUUUUUCUUGGAAAAGAAAAAGAUGAUUUGUUUCGGUGAAGAGGAAAAGUCUCUUUUCUUUCUUUCUUUUUGUUUUUUCUUUUUUUUUUCCGUUCCUCUUUUUCGUUCGUGAGAGAGUAUUUAGUGGAGCUUGCGCGUUUGCAGAAGCGUGAGAGACGUUAGAGGAGAUCUUUUUUUCUCUCUGAAUAUUUCCCUUUCUUUGUCAGUUGUGUGUUUUCUUUUAUGAUCCUAAUUUUUA
rnacentral:lncRNA from 1 species